rnacentral:rRNA from 1 species
CCUACGGGAGGCUGCAGUGGGGAAUAUUGGACAAUGGGCGAAAGCCUGAUCCAGCCAUGCCGCGUGUGUGAAGAAGGCCUUCGGGUUGUAAAGCACUUUCAGUGGGGAAGAAAGCCUUGUGGCUAAUACCCUCGAGGAAGGACAUUACCCACAGAAGAAGCACCGGCUAACUCCGUGCCAGCAGCCGCGGUAAUACGGAGGGUGCGAGCGUUAAUCGGAAUUACUGGGCGUAAAGCGCGCGUAGGCGGUCUGAUAAGCCGGUUGUGAAAGCCCCGGGCUCAACCUGGGAACGGCAUCCGGAACUGUCAGGCUAGAGUGCAGGAGAGGAAGGUAGAAUUCCAGGUGUAGCGGUGAAAUGCGUAGAGAUCGGGAGGAAUACCAGUGGCGAAGGCGGCCUUCUGGACUGACACUGACGCUGAGGUGCGAAAGCGUGGGUAGCAAACAGGAUUAGAUACCCUUGUAGUC